UUGACCUCCUAUCAUGUAGGACUACUCCCUGAACAUCUUCA
rnacentral:rRNA from 1 species